UAUCAACGCUGGCGGCGUGCCUAACACAUGCAAGUCGAACGCGAAAGUCCCGCAAGGGAUGAGUAGAGUGGCAAACGGGUGAGUAACACGUGGGUGACCUGCCUUCGAGCGGGGGAUAACGUCCCGAAAGGGACGCUAAUACCGCAUAACAUCCUGCCUUUGAAGAGGUGGUGAUCAAAGCUGGGGAUCGCAAGACCUAGCACUCGAAGAGGGGCCCGCGUCCGAUUAGCUAGUUGGUGAGGUAACGGCUCACCAAGGCGACGAUCGGUAGCCGGCCUGAGAGGGCGGACGGCCACACUGGGACUGAGACACGGCCCAGACUUCUACGGGAGGCAGCAGUGGGGAAUUGUUCGCAAUGGGCGCAAGCCUGACGACGCAACGCCGCGUGGAGGAUGAAGAUCUUCGGGUCGUAAACUCCUUUCGAUCGAGACGAAUUCCUCCGGGGUGAACAAUCCCGGAGGUUGACGGUACCGAGAGAAGAAGCCCCGGCUAACUCCGUGCCAGCAGCCGCGGUAA
rnacentral:rRNA from 1 species